UUUUUUUUCUUCUUUUCUUCGAACCCUUCCCGAGCCCUAGCGGACGCCCACCUCCCGCCGGUCUCCGCCGUUGCCUUCCUCCCCAAUCUCCCUCAGGUGGUUUUCUUCCCACAGAUCUCCGAUAAAGAGAGACGCCGACCUCCUCCCUGCUCUCCUCGCCGCCACCUCCCACCGGUUGCCGCCAUUCCCUUCCUCGACAUCGUCACCGGCGCGGCCUUCCCCUCCGAUCUCCCUCAGAGCCGAUGCCACUCUGGAUCAGACCUGGAAUUCACCUAAGUCGGAUGGGGUACUGCUAUGUAUAACCGGUGGUUACCCAAUAGAAACGCCAACCGGCCGGUUUUCCAAGCACAUACUCAAUUACAUAGGGGAUAACUGGCUCAUUGAAGGCUCAAACAUCCAUUCUGCCCUUUCUUCUAGGGAAAGACGACGAGAACCUGGGGAAAGCUAGGGUUUCUAAGCGUGGCCGUAUUCCGAUAUGUGGCAGGAAAUUAGCGGAAAUUUCUGCUAUGUUUUCCCAAUUCUCGUCGCUGCCAUUGUUAUUCGUGUGGCAUAUGUGCUGUAUUGGACUGGAAGGCCCCUCAGAGCCUCUGCAUCAGAGAGAGUUAGAACUCUCAUUAUUCUUGGGUCAGGAGGCCACACAGCAGAAAUGCUUAGCAUUUUGAACGUGCUUCAGAAGGACAGAUUUGUGCCGAGAUACUAUGUUGCAGCUGCAACUGAUAACAUGAGCCUUCAAAAGGCUCGGGUUUUUGAGGAGUCGUUGGUCCAGCAGGGGGAGAAUGGUGGAAGAGAUAUGUUAGAGGCUGCUCAGUUCAUGCAGAUUUAUCGAAGCCGUGAAGUGGGUCAGUCUUAUUUUACCUCCAUUGGAACAACUUUGAUUGCAAUGGUGCAUGCACUGUGGUUAACAUUACGAAUUAGACCUCAAGUGAUUAUCUGCAAUGGUCCCGGGACCUGCAUUCCACUCUGUGUUUCUGCGUACCUUUUGAAGGUAGUUGGCCUCAGAUGGUCAACAAUCUUUUAUGUGGAGAGCAUUGCGAGAGUUAGGAAGCUCUCCUUAAGUGGCUUGUUGCUCUACAAGUUAGGCCUAGCUGAUCAAUUUAUUGUGCAAUGGCCCCAGUUGCAAAAGAAGUAUCCCAGAGCACACCAUGUUGGUCGUCUAAUGUAAAAUCUUUGGCUAUUGCUGACCCUGCAGCAGGAGAUCCUCGAUGAGAUGUACACCUCUAGCUAAAGUAAUCUGGGCUUCUCCAUAAAUUGAUCAUCUCUGACCAUAUCUAAGUGAUCAUUGGUAGAAUCAUGAGACCAAGGUAUGCCGUCUCGGUUCCAAACCCUGUACUUGUGCCACUGUGUUACUGCAUCGCUACUAGGUCGGUUCAGCAUAUUGAGUGUCAAUACACCUCUUCAUUCGGUAUGCUUACAGCACUGCAUACCAGUCUCGAACCGAUAUGGUACGGUACAUUCCAUAUCGCUUGAUUUGAUAAUAUGGCAAACUUUGCAUGAGACAAAUUAUAUCCAUUUGAUCCAUAGACUUUACUUGCACUGGGUAGAUGAGAAUAUAUUGAUCGAGAAUAAUAUAUUCUCAUGCAAUAAUAAUAUAUAUUUCCAGUGUAACUAUAGUUAUGAGGAGGUUGAAACAGAAUAAUAGAUUUAUAAAGUAAUUUGUGGCUUUUCAAGAAUAAGUUCAGCCACAUUAUUCACUUUUCAUUGUAUUGUUUUUUAUGAAUAGUUGCAGUCUGCCAUGUGGGGAUACCUAAUUUUGGAUACGAAAAGAUAUAAAUUUUAUAAAAAUUGCGGAGGAUUAAAUGAAAGUUCAAAAAGAAUUGGACUUCACUUAAAAGAAUUAAAAUCACAACAGACAUUGAUCAUCACAGACCCAUAUAUUAUCCAUGAAAAAAAAUAUGGAAGGACAACUACCACAAACAGAAACAACUGCAAGAAUGAUAUCAGCAACCUACAUAGUCAUCCAUGUAAAAUCUGCAUAUAUUUUGCCCAAAUCAUGAAUAAUUUGUGAGAGUUUAUAAAAUCAGUGUGUUGAAUUGUUUCAGCAUAUUUCAGUGGCAUGUGCUUCAACUUUUGAAGGUAGUGCCUGUGUUGGAGGGUUUGAAAUCAAUAUUGCCCCUUCAGCCAUGCAAUCUGUUCAUAGAAUAUUUAUAGUUACCUCAGUUACUGGGAAUACUUUGGAGUUGGUAGAAUCAUCCAUAUGAUUUUUUUUUUUAAAUAAUUCAAAAUAUUGUCACCAGAGUUUAUAGGCUGUAGACAGCUCAUACAAGGGCUAUUUUUUCUUCAUUCAUAAACUGCUGCUCUUUUUUUCUCCUUUUACCUUAUUCUGUAUAUUGUCAAGUAAUGCUCGCAGGCAUAUCUAUCAGUUAUCUAUUACACAAGCACUAGAUACCCCUUGCUUGCAGUGAUACAAAGAACCUACAUAGUGACCAUUCCUUGUGCCAGAAACAUCUGAAGUUGGAUUAGUCCAUCGAGUGCUACCUGCUCCAAUUCCUUGUCGAAUCUUGUUGAUCUUAUCCAUCAGCAUCUUCUCCUCUCCUUUGACUUAAAUCAUUGAUUACUUUCCUAGGCAUGAAGACAGCCAUAAUCCAUCCAAACCUAGCUGUCAGAAUCUGUUCCAAAUAAAUGGGGACCUGGAAGGCUCCAUUCAUCACGCAUCACAAUGAGAGCUUUUGGUGAAAGAUGGAGUAUAGGACAAAACCUCCUUUGUCUUGUCCUCCACUGCAAUACCUCUUUCCAAAUGCAAACUUCAAUCCCACAUUUCCUACGAAUCUAAUGGCUCUUUUUAUUAUGUCAAGCAGUAGAUUUGCAAUGGAAAAGAUAAGUGAUCAAGAGAUAUGAAAUGUAUCGAGAAAUGAUUAUCUUAAGAUUUUAUGCUAAUCAUGUUUUUACAGUUUAUAACUUGUGCUGGUGUCAUCGUAAUUUGUAAAUUAUGAACUACUUUCGCUUUUUUAGUUUAUCACUCACAAGUUUGUUUUGCAAGUUUGGAAAUCAAUUCUAGGAAAAAAAGGGGAUAUUUUGAAAUCUCCUCUUUUGUACAGAAGACAUGAGAUCUGUUACCAUGGCUUGAUGUAAAUGUCAUGGGGAUAUUGGAUUAUCUUAUGACCACAGACUACGCAAGGCUAGCACACCUUUAAAAUAUUCUCCUCAUUCUUGUCACACCUAAUUUGGAUUUGGUUAUUAUGAUUGGAUCCUAUCCAAACCUUGGGAGGUUCCCUGAGGUUUUUUGUUUGUUUCCUUCUUAUAGGAUUAUAUUCCAAUGUUAUCAAGUUGUGGAUGGAGGUUACCAAAAAAAUUGUAAAGAAACGUGGAUAUGCUAUGUGAUGAAAGAUUAUA